rnacentral:rRNA from 1 species
UAGAUGCGAGAGUAGAGCAUAUCAAUAAGCGGAGGAAAAGAAACUAACAAGGAUUCCCUUAGUAACGGCGAGUGAAGCGGGAAGAGCUCAAAUUUGAAAUCUUCAAGGUUUUACCUUGACGAAUUGUAGUUUAAAGAAGUGUUUUCUGUUGAAGUUUUGGUAAAAGUUCUUUGGAAUAGGACAUCAUAGAGGGUGAGAAUCCCGUAUUUGACCAUUAUUUUCAGCUGUGUGAUACACUUUCAAAGAGUCGGAUUGUUUGGGAAUGCAGUCCAAAAUGGGUGGUAAAUUUCAUCUAAAGCUAAAUAUUGGCGAGAGACCGAUAGCGAACAAGUACCGUGAGGGAAAGAUGAAAAGAACUUUGAAAAGAGAGUUAAACAGUACGUGAAAUUGUCAAAAGGGAAGCGUUUGACACCAGUGUUGUUUUUCCGAAAAUCAAUUACGAAUGUUUUAUUUUUGAGGAGUUAUGACUUCAUCGGCUUGCUCCUUUCUUUACGAAACUUUCUUAAUGCACUUUUCGGUUAACAAGUCAGCAUCAAUUUCUUUUGUUGUAAAAGGGUAUGAGGAAGGUGGCUUUCUUUUCGGAGAAAGUGUUUAUAGCCUUGUGCCUCUGCAAUCGGAGAGAUUGAGGUCUGCAGCGUAGAUCCUUCGGGGUUAGAUACGUUUGUGCUAAGUUAUAGCUUUUCAUAGACAACUUGUUGACUAUGUUUAGUCUUGUAGCUUACUCGCUUAUGCUAUUUUACCUACGCUUAGGAUGUUGACGAGACUGUCGAUCUC